AAAUCCCAGCAGAGACCAACAAGUAAACUGAGACGGUGACUGAAUUGGACUUUUAGAUGGAUGGAAUUCUGCAGCGCUCUGAAAAGUAGAAGGAAACAAUCAGUUCAUCAUGAAAGGCAGAAGACAUUUCCUUUGUAACCUAAUUGUUGCAUUUGUGGUGGUAAGACUUUCUCUUCCUUAAACACUAAAUACUUUCAAAUGAAGAAGAAAAAUAAAAGGCCCUACCCUAGUCAGAGAGAUCUGGUCCUUUGUGGAAGUCACUCAGGCUAGACCGCGACCUGAACAUUUGAACAUUUGACCAGUAAAGUGCCAUGGAAUGGGCAAAUAUCUCUGUAGUUGUGGCUCUAAGGCUGGGGACUAAAUAGUUGGUCAAAUCUGGUGGGAGAAGAAAGCAAGUGACUGGACAAGACUGAUGAUGCCAAUAUGGUACAGGUUGGUGGAGAGGGGCCAGAGAAGGAGAAUGAAUACCUUCUCCCUUUCCUGUAGCAGUUCAAUAGAUGAACACUUUACUAUUGUCAAUAAAGCAGAUGACUAUACU